GACGUAGGGCGCGAGCGUUGUCCGGAUUUAUUGGGCGUAAAGAGCUCGCAGGCGGCUCGUUGCGUCGGCUGUGAAAACCCGCGGCUCAACCGUGGGCUUGCAGCUGAUACGGGCGGGCUGGAGUUCGGUAGGGGAGACUGGAAUUCCUGGUGUAGCGGUGAAAUGCGCAGAUAUCAGGAGGAACACCGGUGGCGAAGGCGGGUCUCUGGGCCGAUACUGACGCUGAGGAGCGAAAGCGUGGGGAGCGAACAGG
rnacentral:rRNA from 1 species